rnacentral:rRNA from 1 species
UACGGAGGGUGCGAGCGUUGUCCGGAAUCACUGGGCGUAAAGGGCGCGUAGGCGGCUUGGUAAGCGUGCGGUGAAAGCUCGGGGCUCAACCCCGCGUCUGCCGUGCGAACUGCCGAGCUCGAGCACCGUAGAGGCAGGUGGAAUUCCGGGUGUAGCGGUGGAAUGCGUAGAGAUCCGGAAGAACACCGGUGGCGAAGGCGGCCUGCUGGGCGGUAGCUGACGCUGAUGCGCGACAGCGUGGGGAG